AAGUUAACAAUAACUAGGAUGCACUCAGAAUACUCAUGUAUUUGUUUCCCAUAUUAUUAUCAAUCCAAGGAUCAAAGAUUGUUUCCCAUAUUAUUAUCAAUCCAAGGAUCGAAGAAGAAAAAAAGGGACAUGGCAAAAUUGACUUUAGAGAGCUGGACCAGGAUCUACAAAAAUGAUCACACUUAGGGCAGAAUAAUGAUGAAGCCCCGUGCUUUUUUAAUCCAGAGGUCACUUCUGACCUGGCUAAGAGAAGAUCAGAAGAACAUUUAGGGAUACGAUGGAAGGGAGUUAGUUCCCUAUCUGAAACUGUUUAACGUCCUCUAUCUCAUCAGACUAAUAAACAAAGCCAUGGAAUAUUCGCAUAUCUUCACUACAAAAUGUGACCAAGAUGGAAGAGGCCCUCCUACAAACUUUGCUGCAUGUAUUUGUUGCUUGUAAG